rnacentral:rRNA from 1 species
AUUGAACGCUGGCGGCAGGCCUAACACAUGCAAGUCGAGCGAGUGGCGGACGGGUGAGUAAUGUCUGGGAAACUGCCUGAUGGAGGGGGAUAACUACUGGAAACGGUAGCUAAUACCGCAUACCAUCGGAUGUGCCCAGAUGGGAUUAGCUAGUAGGUGGGGUAAAGGCUCACCUAGGCGACGAUCGCUAGCUGGUCUGAGAGGAGGACCAGCCACACUGGAACUGAGACACGGUCCAGACUCCUACGGGAGGCAGCAGUGGGGAAUAUUGCACAAUGGGCGCAAGCCGGAUGCAGCCAGGCCGGGUGUUUGAAGAAGGCCUUCGGGUUGUAAAGUACUUUCAGCGAGGAGGCGUUACUCGCAGAAGAAGCACCGGCUAACUCCGUGCCAGCAGCCGCGGUAAUAC